rnacentral:lncRNA from 1 species
GAGAGAGAGAGAGAGAGAGAGAGAGAUUCAAAUUUGAUUCUAAAAUAUGUGAUAUCAUUUUUUAGGGACUUCAAUCCAACGAUGAGAGAAAAUCGUCCAAAGUUCACUAGUGUUCAUAUCUUUAAAACUGAUGAAAUCCACCAAGCAAUUGUGAUAUUAAGUCUAGGUAGCCUAAAAAAAUAGUUUGUUCCAUUUAAUACAUUUAUAUUUACAUUUCUCUCCCCCUUUUUUUGUACGUAGACAUAGAUCAUUUUAAAACAAAUUUUGGCCUAUUUUUAUCACUAAUAUAAGGUAAGACAUGUGUUUUUCCGAAAAAUAUUUCAAGCCUAAAAUAAAUUAAAGAACUAAAGAUUUUAAACAUUAUGUUCUUAAAUUUUUUUUAAAAAUACAUACCACGAAACCUUGUUGUAUGGGUAUUUUUAUUAAACAUUUCAAAAUGUAUAAAAUAAUAUAUUUUCAAAUUUUCAUAUAUUUGAAUCUUUAAUAGUAAUACUAGUUUAAAAGUUUAUAUUAUAAUCAAUUAAAAGGAU